GAAUUCCUGGAAUGUGCGAUGCCCCUUUUUUUAUUUGAACCUACAUUUAUUAAUAGGGAAUCCAACAUCGCUGCUGUGAUGUCAGGCCUCUCGUCGUGGAAGGCAGAUCAUCAGUUGAGGACACCCAACCUGGCGAAAGCUAGGCGUCAAAUGGAAGGGAACGGCAUUCCGGGGGAAUU
rfam:Blautia sp. CAG:237 genomic scaffold, scf205